GAUGAACGCUGGCGGCGUGCCUAAUACAUGCAAGUCGAGCGAACGGACGAGAAGCUUGCUUCUCUGAUGUUAGCGGCGGACGGGUGAGUAACACGUGGAUAACCUACCUAUAAGACUGGGAUAACUUCGGGAAACCGGAGCUAAUACCGGAUAAUAUUUUGAACCGCAUGUUUAAAAAGUGAAAGACGGUCUUGCUGUCACUUAUAGAUGGAUCCGCGCUUCAUUAGCUAGUUGGUAAGGUAACGGCUUACCAAGGCAACGAUGCAUAGCCGAACUGAUAGGAUGAUCGGCCACACUAGAACUGCGACACGGUCCAUACUCCUACAGGAGGCAACAGUAGGGUAUCUUCCGCAAUGGACGAAAGCCUGACGGAGCAACGCCGCGUACGUGAUGAUGGUCAUCGGAUCGUAAAACUCUGUGAUUAGGGAAGAACAUAUUUGUAAGUAAGUGUUCAAAUCUUGACGGUACCUAAUCAGAAAGCCACGGCUAACUACGUG
rnacentral:rRNA from 1 species